AACGAACGCUGGCGGCAUGCCUAACACAUGCAAGUCGAACGAAGGCUUCGGCCUUAGUGGCGCACGGGUGCGUAACGCGUGGGAAUCUGCCCUUUGGUUCGGAAUAACAGCUGGAAACGGCUGCUAAUACCGGAUGAUGACGAAAGUCCAAAGAUUUAUCGCCAGAGGAUGAGCCCGCGUUGGAUUAGGUAGUUGGUGGGGUAAAGGCCUACCAAGCCGACGAUCCAUAGCUGGUCUGAGAGGAUGAUCAGCCACACUGGGACUGAGACACGGCCCAGACUCCUACGGGAGGCAGCAGUGGGGAAUAUAGGACAAUGGGCGCAAGCCUGAUCCAGCAAUGCCGCGUGAGUGAUGAAGGCCCUAGGGUUGUAAAGCUCUUUUACCCGGGAAGAUAAUGACUGUACCGGGAGAAUAAGCCCCGGCUAACUCCGUG
rnacentral:rRNA from 1 species